CCUACGGUGCGCUGCAGUGAGGAAUAUUGGUCAAUGGGCGGAAGCCUGAACCAGCCAAGUAGCGUGCGGGAUGAAGGCCCUACGGGUCGUAAACCGCUUUUGCACGGGGAUAACACCCUCCACUUGUGGAGGUCUGCAGGUACCGUGCGAAUAAGGGCCGGCUAAUUCCGUGCCAGCAGCCGCGGUAAUACGGAAGGCCCGAGCGUUAUCCGGAUUCAUUGGGCUUAAAGGGAGCGUAGGCGGGCGUUCAAGUCAGCUAUAAAAUCGCGCGGCUCAACCGCGCCCCGCAGUUGAAACUGGACGCCGUGAGGUCACAACAGGCAGGCGGAAGUCGUGGUGUAGCGGUGAAAUGCAGAGAUAGCACGAGGAACCCCGAUUGCGAAGGCAGCCUGCCGGGGUGCGACUGACGCUGAGGCUCGAAGGUGCGGGUAUCAAACAGGAUUAGAUACCCCUGUAGUC
rnacentral:rRNA from 1 species